rnacentral:rRNA from 1 species
CCUACGGGAGGCAGCAGUGGGGAAUAUUGGGCAAUGGGCGCAAGCCUGACCCAGCAACGCCGCGUGAAGGAAGAAGGCCCUCGGGUUGUAAACUUCUUUUGUCAGGGACGAAGCAAGUGACGGUACCUGACGAAUAAGCCACGGCUAACUACGUGCCAGCAGCCGCGGUAAUACGUAGGUGGCAAGCGUUAUCCGGAUUUACUGGGUGUAAAGGGCGUGUAGGCGGGGAAGCAAGUCAGAUGUGAAAUUCCAGGGCUCAACCCCUAGAGUGCAACUGAUACUGUAUAACUUGAGUGUGAGAGAGGGAAGCGGAAUUCCUAGUGUAGCGGUGAAAUGCGUAGAUAUUAGGAGGAACACCAGUGGCGAAGGCGGCUUUCUGGCUCAUAACUGACGCUGAGGCGCGAAAGCGUGGGGAGCAAACAGGAUUAGAUACCCGGGUAGUC